rnacentral:rRNA from 1 species
UACGUAGGGUGCGAGCGUUGUCCGGAAUUACUGGGCGUAAAGAGCUCGUAGGUGGUUUGUCGCGUUGUCCGUGAAAACUCACAGCUUAACUGUGGGCGUGCGGGCGAUACGGGCAGACUGGAGUACUGCAGGGGAGACUGGAAUUCCUGGUGUAGCGGUGGAAUGCGCAGAUAUCAGGAAGAACACCCGUGGCGAAGGCGGCUCUCUGGAACGCAACUGACGCUGAGACGCGAAAGCGUGGGGAGCAAACAGG